rnacentral:rRNA from 1 species
UGGGGAAUAUUGGACAAUGGGCGAAAGCCUGAUCCAGCAAUGCCGCGUGAGUGAUGAAGGCCUUAGGGUUGUAAAGCUCUUUUACCAGGGAUGAUAAUGACAGUACCUGGAGAAUAAGCUCCGGCUAACUCCGUGCCAGCAGCCGCGGUAAUACGGAGGGAGCUAGCGUUGUUCGGAAAUACUGGGCGUAAAGCGCACGUAGGCGGCUUUUCAAGUCAGGGGUGAAAUCCCGGAGCUCAACUCCGGAACUGCCCUUGAAACUGGAUCGCUUGAAUCCUGGAGAGGUCAGUGGAAUUCCGAGUGUAGAGGUGAAAUUCGUAGAUAUUCGGAAGAACACCAGUGGCGAAGGCGACUGACUGGACAGGUAUUGACGCUGAGGUGCGAAAGCGUGGGGAGCAAACAGGAUUAGAUACCCCCGUAGUCC